rnacentral:lncRNA from 1 species
AGUAAUGUGUUGUGAAUCGUACUUCAUCCUGCCCAGGAGAUGUCAGAGCGGCUCGAGGGUCAUGGAGGGUUCUACGUCGGGCAGAACAUGACGUCUUCCCCCUUCAGCCGUCUGGAUGAAAUGUCAGAAGAAGCUGGUAGCGUUUGGGCUACUGGCCCCCACCACCAAGGUCAUCCCCCGCUGCUUGCCUUGCUGUUGGGACGGUGCUGGUGUCACAGCAGAGUGCUCAUCUUGGGAUGGCUCGUGUCUCACUACCUCAUCCUUGUGACAAGAAGGUGGAUUUCUCAGCCGCUUCCUUCCCCAGCAGGGCCACGCGUAGCUGUUAGUAAACAUGACAGCCUGGUCUCCCAUCGUUUGAUUCAAGUUCAGCCCACGAAUGUCUAGA